GACGAACGCUGGCGGCGUGCUUAACACAUGCAAGUCGAACGAUGAAGCCCAGCUUGCUGGGUGGAUUAGUGGCGAACGGGUGAGUAACACGUGAGUAACCUGCCCUGGACUCUGGGAUAACCCCGAGAAAUCGGAGCUAAUACCGGAUAGGACCUUCUCCCGCAUGGGGGUUGGUGGAAAGUUUUUCGGUUUGGGAGGGACUCGCGGCCUAUCAGCUUGUUGGUGAGGUAAUGGAGCACCAAGGCGUCGACGGGUAGCGGGCCUGAGAGGGUGACCGGGAACACUGGGACUGAGACACGGCCCAGACUCCUACGGGGAGGAGCAGUGGGGGAGAUUGCGCAAUGGGCGCAAGCCUGAUGCAGCAACGGCGCGUGCGGGAUGACGGCCUUCGGGUUGUAAACCGCUUUUAGUAAGGAAGAAGGGGCUUCGGCCUUGACGGUACUUGCAGAAAAAGGACCGGCUUACUACGUGCCAGCCGCCGCAGUAAUAC
rnacentral:rRNA from 1 species